rnacentral:tRNA from 1 species
UUUAAUAUGAUCUGAGUGGUUAGAGCUUAGGCCUUGUAACCGUAAGGUCCCGGGUUCGAAUCUUUCCGGAGGCAGAA